rnacentral:rRNA from 1 species
AAUAGAUACCCGGGUAGUCCUAGCCGUAAACGAUGAGCACUUGGUCGAGGGCCCCCCCCAUAGGCUCUUGGCCGUAGCGAAAGUGUUAAGUGCUCCGCCUGGGGAGUAUGGCCGCAAGGCUGAAACUCAAAGGAAUUGACGGGGGGCUCACACAAGCGGUGGAGGAUGUGGCUUAAUUCGAGGCUACGCGAAGAACCUUAUCCAGGCCUUGACAUGUAUGGAUUAACCCUGUGAAAGCAGGGCCACGCCUUCGGGUGGAACAUACACAGGUGCUGCAUGGCUGUCGUCAGCUCGUGUCGUGAGAUGUCGGGUUAAGUCCCUUAACGAGCGAAACCCUUAUUGCUAGUUGCCAGCGAGUCAUGUCGGGGACUCUAGCAAGACCGCCGGUGUUAAACCGGAGGAAGGUGGGGAUGACGUCAAGUCCUCAUGGCCUUUAUGGUCUGGGCUGCACACGUCCUACAAUGCCGCGUACAGAGGGAAGCAAACCCGGUGAGGGUCUAGCAAAUCCCGAAAAAGCGCGGCCCAGUUCGGAUUGCAGG